rnacentral:lncRNA from 1 species
GGGUCAAAGUUCUAUUUCACACUUGCAGGGGCAAGACAGCAAAAGGAAAAAGCUGGUUCACAGCAACUGUCUUAGGAAAGCAAGGCCUCUUUUAGAAACAGAAAGGAACGUCUAGACCCGUGGCUUGUUUAAACACCCGCUGCUAGGCCCCACUGCCAGAGCUGCCUAUCCAGGGCCGAGAAUGUGCAUUUCUAAGUAGUUCUCAGGCGGUGCUGAUGCUGCGGAUCUGGGGACUGUACUUUGAGAACCACCGGUGCAGACCCUGGCCAACGUUCUUUAGUCUGAUGCGUCGGGGAGCUGUAAAGCUGCCAUCCUUCACCGGUGGGCAAGUAACCUGGUGGCGCCACCCCAGGGCCAGACCCAGGGCCGGCCUCGGUGCGCCUCUAGCCAGAAAUAACCAGCACUGGGUUCCGCUCACCGGCAACGCCAGGUGGGGGCCAUCUGACCACUCAACAGUUUUGCUUUUUCUUCAAAUUCGGAUACUUAGAAGGAAUGCGAUGAAAUUGGGAUGAAGGUGUUUUGCUGGCCCCGUGGACAGACCAGACCUCCUCCCAUCGGAGCCUCGGGUCUCACACCAGCCCCCCAGGCGGCGCGCGGCCCCGUCUCGCCACCGCGGCCCGGGUCGUUCGCGUCUUCCGGCGCCGAGGGUGCCUCUGGGUCCCAGCACCAGGCUCCGUGGCGCGCACGCGCGGCAGCUUCUUCUAGCCCCGCCAGGAGACGGCCCAGAAGGGCUAUGCGGCGCGGCCUCGCUCCUGGGGGUGGUUAGGAACGACUGUUUCAUUUCCUCCUUCACCCUUCAAAUCUCAGUUUUUGCUUGGGCUUGAAGGAAUGGGCCAGGGUAUCGUGGACGGAGAGUCUUACAAAAUUUGAGUUUUUGAGGUCAGAAUUUAAAAGUAGCUGCCGAAACCCGGGAUCGAACCAGGGACCUUUAGAUCUUCAGUCUAACGCUCUCCCAACUGAGCUAUUUCGGCACGUUCUGGGUUGUCUCCUGAGUAAACUAUCACUGAGCGCUUUGCGUCCAACUGGCUUGCUUGUCUUUUCCUGGUGAUCAUGUACAGCAUUUCUUCCUUGUCCUGUUAAACGGUGUCGUCGGAAUUCUUCCACCUCCCUCCUUCUACGCUGCCACUGGGCGCUGCACACGCGCCUUACUUUCUUAGAUUGCUCUCGGCGCGCGCAGCCCGCACGGUCCAGGAGCUGGGUCCAGGCCCCCGAUGGCGGCUCCUCGGGAUGCUGGUUCCGUCCUCCCAGGGCCGGUCCCCGCGAGAUCCGAAGCAGCGGGGUCGCCUCGGGGAGCUCCUGCCCAGGCCUGGUAGCCCCUUCCCUUCGAUCUGCCCCUGCCUGUGACUAUCCACAUUCGUCACCUUGCUCCCCGAAAAGUUCCAGGCCCCAGGUUUUCCUGUUAGUGAAAAGAUCUUCAACAUCAACCCAAUAUUUAUUGUUGCUGUUUUACAAAGGAGACCGAAAGUUUCUGGGACUUAGUGCCACGGUCCCGAAACUGCAGCCACCUGGGGCACUGAAGAAUAUUUCACAUUUUUGAGAGAAACACAGCGAUGCUUGGCAUCUGUGGGACGCUAUGCAAACUACCCAGUAGUUCAUUGUUUUGGCAAGAGAUUACAUUUCUAUCAGUGAUGUCAUCUCUUUCAGCAUGAUAAAAAGUACCCAUGAAUCAAUGGGGAAUAUGAAAUUAGGGUUGAGAUGUCCAAUCUGUUUCCAAGCUUGAGAAAUUGUACACUGUCCAGGAUACACACAUCCCACCAGUAAGUUAACUGUGGUGAGAAUGAAAUUAGGGAGUCUCUGAGCCUACUCUGGCUUGGGAGGCUGCCCUUG